rnacentral:rRNA from 1 species
GACGAACGCUGGAGGCGUGCUUAACACAUGCAAGUCGAACGAUGAAAUGGAGCUUGCUCCAUGGAUUAGUGGCGAACGGGUGAGUAACACGUGAAUAACCUGCCCUUAAUUUUGGAAUAACCCAGGGAAACCUGGGCUAAUACCGGAUAAGUAAACCUGUGGCAUCACAUGGUUUUGGAAAGUUUUUCGAUUAAGGAUGGAUUCGCGGCCUAUCAGCUUGUUGGUGGGGUAAUGGCUCACCAAGGCGACGACGGGUAGCCGGCCUGAGAGGGUGAACGGCCACACUGGGACUGAGACACGGCCCAGACUCCUACGGGAGGCAGCAGUGGGGAAUAUUGCGCAAUGGACGAAAGUCUGACGCAGCGACGCCUCGUGAGGGACGAAGGUCUUCGGAUUGUAAACCUCUUUCAGCAGGGACGAAGCGAAAGUGACGGUACCUGCAGAAGAAGCACCGGCUAACUAUGUGCCAGCCGCCGCAGUAA